AUUGAACGCUGGCGUCAGGCCUAACACAUGCAAGUCGAACGGUAACAGGAAGCAGCUUGCUGCUUCGCUGACGAGUGGCGGACGGGUGAGUAAUGUCUGGGAAACUGCCCGAUGGAGGGGGAUAACUACUGGAAACGGUAGCUAAUACCGCAUAACGCCGCAAGACCAAAGAGGGGGGACCUUCGGGCCUCUUGCCAUCGGAUGUGCCCAGAUGGGAUUAGCUUGUUGGUG
rnacentral:rRNA from 1 species